UACGAAGGGAACUAGCGUUGUUCGGAAUUACUGGGCGUAAAGCGCGUGUAGGCGGCUCUGCAAGUCGGGUGUGAAAUCCCAUGGCUCAACCAUGGAAGUGCACUCGAAACUGCAGGGCUAGAGUCCUGGAGAGGAAGGUGGAAUGCUUGGUGUAGAGGUGAAAUUCGUAGAUAUCAAGCGGAACACCGGUGGCGAAGGCGGCCUUCUGGACAGUGACUGACGCUGAGACGCGAAAGCGUGGGGAGCAAACAGG
rnacentral:rRNA from 1 species